UACAGAUCACCCACACGAAGAUCGGUUGUAGAUCAAGCUCCUUGGGAGUGCUAGCUCGUAAGGAUCUUUGAAGAAUGAUGUUUCUCUUCUUCUUUAGGCCUCUUGGAUGCUCCAAAGGAGAACAAGAAUUAAAAGAGAAAGAGAGGAGUGAGAGAGGCUAUGGAGGAGAAAAAACUUUCAACGAGAAAUCAUAUAGGGCAUCCAACUAUUGG
rnacentral:lncRNA from 1 species